rnacentral:rRNA from 1 species
AGCAGCCGCGGUAAUUCCAGCUCCAAUAGCGUAUAUUAAAGUUGUUGCAGUUAAAAAGCUCGUAGUUGAAUUUCGGGGUUCAUCCGUUGGUCGGGCUUUUUUGGUCUGUACUGGCGUGAUGGAUUCCUACCUUCUGAAUAACCGGCAUGUCAUUAAUUUGGUGCGCCGGGGAAGCAGGACUGUUACCUUGAAAAAUUAGAGUGCUUAAAGCAGGCUAUCGCCUGAAUACAUUAGCAUGGAAUAAUGAAAUAGGACGGCAUGGUUCUAUUUUGUUGGUUUCUAGGAUCACCGUAAUGAUUAAUAGGGAUAGUUGGGGGCAUUAGUAUUCAAUUGUCAGAGGUGAAAUUCUUGGAUUUAUUGAAGCUAACUUCUGCGAAAGCAUUUGCCAAGGAUGUUUUCAUUAAUCAAGAACGAAAGUUAGGGGAUCGAAGACGAUCAGAUACCGUCGUAGUCUUAACCAUAAACUAAUGCCGACUA